rnacentral:lncRNA from 1 species
UGAGUUCCUAAGUUAAAGACUUUUUUGUUUGUUUGUUUUUCUCUUUUAAUUAUGCAUAGGUUGUCCUGGUGAGACCAGAAUUGCAAGGAAACUUUAAAGGAAAGAAUUUCUGAGAAACUGUGGAUGAUCUUUCCAAAGUCUAAAUCAGCUACAUACAGAAAGAGAAAUGAGCAUGUCUUCUCCUAUCUGCAAAUCAUUCUCCUCCAGUGUUCCAAGGAAAGAAUUAAAUCUGCUUGCUGCCAAGAUCUGUUUGUAUGGAAAAACAAUGGAAAUUGUUUUCAGAAUGGUUCCUAAAGUGAUCACUUCUGUGAAUAUGGCAAUAGCCAGCCUAGGAACACUUGCCUACAGAUGCAGAAAGCAUCUAGAGAUGCAGAAGCUGACCAAAAGAAGAAUGCUCUGAAUUAUAAUACAACAUUGAAAAAAAUGCAUAGGGAAAGAUCACAAGAUCUAAGAACUCCAGUUUCAUGGAUCUGCUCUCCUAGCUUUAUACCAGAACACCAGAAGUUACAGGACUCUGCUACCUGUAGCAAAGAGAAGCAGGAAUUUUCACAGCAUUUUUUUGGUAUAUCAGAACUUCCUGAUUUUCCUGAGUCACUUCACCUCUCAAAAUCUGUAGCCUGAGGCUGAAAAUUGAUAAGAAACAGUUUUGGUUUUUUUUUUUGUUGUUGUUGUUGUUUGUUUGUUUUGUUUUUCAUUUCAGUUCCUGGCACUUUUACACAUGACACUGAAGCAUGCUUUUUAAAAAUAUUUGCAGUAUUUCUUAUUGCUGGAAAUGAAGCAGAAAAAGGUCAGUCAAAUAUUCUAGAACUUUUAAAGUAAGGCACUAUUUUAUUUUUUCUUCAGGAUUAGAAAUGGUUCAAUGUUUGAUAAUGUUUUAUUUUUUAUUUUUUACUAUCUAAUUAUGAAAUCACUACUUCUUAAAGGCUUUUAGCAACAAUAACUGUUAAUAAGGAC